UUACAACUACAACCGCACAGAGUAAGUAAUUAAGUGUAAUAGGUCUAUUACCGCUUAGGAUGGCGAGUCUAAGUUUAUGA
rfam:Melissococcus plutonius ATCC 35311 DNA, complete genome.